UUCAGAUCUGAGUCUAGAGGCCAGAGACAGACGUCAGAGAGGUCUGAGGCAUGACAGGAAUUCAACGAAGGAGAAAUUCUCUGUUACUGGCUUUGAAAGUGGAAGGGGGACACAUGAGAGGGACUGGGGCGGCUUCUAGGGGCUGAGUACAGCCGUCAGCUAAAAGCCAGCAAAAAAACACUGGGGCCUUCAGCCUUACAAUGAGACACUGAACCUCACCAUCAACCUCAAUGAGCUUGGAACAGACCCUUCCCAAGAGCCCCCCAAUAGGAACACAGCAGCCUGGCAUGACCUUGAGUGUGAGACCAUGAGCAGAGGACCCAGCCCAGCCUCCUCUGGCCAACUGUGAGCUAACAAGCAUCUGUGUCCGGGCUACUUUGUUACACAGCAAUAGACAGCUAACACAGCAACUAGAUGAGAAUUCAAUCCCAGGAGUGGGUAACCCCACAGCCCCUGCUUCGUCAACUGAUCCUGAUGGCCAUCCCAUUGCCUGCGGGGCUCAGAUAGGACCUGGGGUCCUGCACAGUAGACUGAAACAACAAAACUAGGAAAUAGGCUUUGUUAAGAGAGAUGGAGUGGCAUCAAGGCUCUCCUCCCUCAAUAAAUUGACUGAGGACACCCAACCAUGAAUCCUACUUUCUCAGAACCUGUAAUAAACUCGUGAUCACUCCCACUUUACGGAUAAGAAAACUGAGGUUCGUGGAGAUGACAACUUGACCAAGAUGGUAGAGUUUAUGACAGGACGGGCCUCUCCAUUACCGCCCCCCGCACCCACCCAAUUCUGUGUCCUCUGCUCACCCCUCACCUCCUCCAGCACCUUCUUUUCCAGGAUGAAUGACAAGACAGUAAAAUGGAAGCCCCAGGCUCGGUACCCUCCUGGAAUUCACAAAGUCUGUUUCAAGAAGUAUGGAUCCGGUCUCAACCCCUCACUUCAUGAAUCAGGAAGCAGAGACAGUGUAUGAGGUGAGGCUAACUAACUUCAAGAAUUACCUUGUAUUCCUCCUGAGGUCAGAGUUUGAUCUGUUCUCCCCUUCCACCCUGACCAAGGACUGACCUAGUCUAGAGCUACACAGGACGGAAGCACCAGCAUCUAGAAAAUAUCCAAAAGAAGGACACCUGGGUGGCUCAGUGGUUGAGCAUCUGCCUUUGGCUCAGGGCAUGAUCCCGGGGUCUUGGGAUCGAGUCCCACAUUGGGCUCCCUGUGGGGAGCCUGCUUCUCCCUCUGACUGUGU